AUUGAACGCUGGCGGCAGGCCUAACACAUGCAAGUCGAGCGGAUGAAGGGAGCUUGCUCCUGGAUUCAGCGGCGGACGGGUGAGUAAUGCCUAGGAAUCUGCCUGGUAGUGGGGGAUAACGUCCGGAAACGGGCGCUAAUACCGCAUACGUCCUGAGGGAGCAAGUGGGGGAUCUUCGGACCUCACGCUAUCAGAUGAGCCUAGGUCGGAUUAGCUAGUUGGUGGGGUAAAGGCCUACCAAGGCGACGAUCCGUAACUGGUCUGAGAGGAUGAUCAGUCACACUGGAACUGAGACACGGUCCAGACUCCUACGGGAGGCAGCAGUGGGGAAUAUUGGACAAUGGGCGAAAGCCUGAUCCAGCCAUGCCACGUGUGUGAAGAAGGUCUUCGGAUUGUAAAGCACUUUAAGUUGGGAGGAAGGGCAGUAAGUUAAUACCUUGCUGUUUUGACGUUACCAACAGAAUAAGCACCGGCUAACUUCGUG
rnacentral:rRNA from 1 species